rnacentral:ncRNA from 1 species
CAACCUCAACUCAUAUGGGACUACCCCCUGAAUUUAAGCAUAUUAAUUAGGGGAGGAAAAGAAACUAACAAGGAUUUUCUUAGUAGCGGCGAGCGAAAAGAAAACAGUUCAGCACUAAGUCACUUUGUCUAUAUGGCAAAUGUGAGAUGCAGUGUAUGGAGCGUCAAUAUUCUAGUAUGAGAAUUAAUGAUUUAAGUCCUUCUUAAAUGAGGCCAUUUACCCAUAGAGGGUGCCAGGCCCGUAUAACGUUAAUGAUUGCUAGCUGAUGUUUCCAAAGAGUCGUGUUGCUGAAUAGUGCAGCACUAAGCGGGUGGUAAACUCCCUCUAAAACUUAAUACAACCAUGAGUCCGAUAGUACACAAGUGCCCUGAGGGAAAUCGGACAAGACCUCUUCAUACAGAGUUAAACCGUACGUGAAACUGCUUAGCGGUACAGCCCCGAGAACCA